CUUGGGUUCAUCUGCAGGUCAAGUUCUCAGUUUUUUUUUUCUUUUAAAAUGGAGACUGGUCCCAAGAUGGAGUAGGUCUGGCCUCUCAAGGUAGAGAAGCAGCUCUGCGGGAGGUAAGGGGGAAGGUCUGGCCUGGGCCCUGAGAUCCCAGCUUCUGUUUGACAAAGACCAAGACCCCUGGCUGCGGUGGAUCAUCGAGGGCCUCUGGCUGAUGAAGGGCAUUCUUCAGAACCAUGGGAACACCUCGUGUCUGCAGGAACAAAGCAAGGUGGCAAUCGCCCAGAGUGCUCGCUCACUCUGCUGUCAGCAAGCAGCCCUCAGC
rnacentral:lncRNA from 1 species